rnacentral:tRNA from 1 species
GCCCAUAUAGCUCAGUGGAUAGAGCGCUUGCCUUCUAAGCAAGUGGUCGUAGGUUCGACCCCUACUAUGGGUU